rnacentral:rRNA from 1 species
UACGGAGGGGGCGAGCGUUAUUCGGAAUCACUGGGCGUAAAGCGCGUGUAGGCGGCUAUCUAAGUCUGAUGUGAAAGCCCUGGGCUCAACUCAGGAAGUGCAUUGGAUACUGGAUAGCUGGAGUACCGGAGAGGAGGGUGGAAUUCCUGGUGUAGCGGUGAAAUGCGCAGAUAUCAGGAGGAACACCAAUGGCGAAGGCAGCUCGCUGGGACGUGACUGACGCUGGAGACGCGAAAGCGUGGGGAGCAAACAGG